rnacentral:rRNA from 1 species
UCGAGGAUCAUUUGCAAUGGGCGCAAGCCUGACAAUGCGACGCCGUGUGAACGAAGAAGGCCUUCGGGUUGUAAAGUUCUUUCGCUUGGGAACAAGAAAUAGAGGUAAAUAAUCUCUAAAUUUGAGAGUACUAGGUAAAGAAGCACCGGCUAACUCCGUGCCAGCAGCUGCGGUAAUACGGAGGGUGCAAGCAUUAAUCGGAUUUAUUGGGCGUAAAGGGCGCGUAGGCGGCUAGAUAAGUCUUAGGUGAAAUUCCAAAGCUCAACUUUGGAGCGGCCUUAGAAACUAUAUAGCUGGAGGAUAGACGGAGAAAAUGGAAUUCCACAUGUAGCGGUGAAAUGCGUAGAUAUGUGGAAGAACACCAGUGGCGAAAGCGGUUUUCUAGUUUAUACCUGACGCUGAGGCGCGAGAGCAAGGGGAGCAAACA